rnacentral:lncRNA from 1 species
AUGCUGGAGAGAAAGGGUGUGUGGUCAGGGACAAUGAGAGGACCUGAGACACUGCUCCGUAAGGCAGGGCUUGUGCUGUCCUUGCCGGAGGUUAUUGCAAGGAUUCACGAGCGCCUGGCACUCACAGAAUGUCCAGUGCAGGGCUUGUGCAUACUGCAUCACGCUGACUACCAUUGACUCCUGAGGACACUCACAGAAGAUGGAGACGUGAUAGCCAUAAAAUCUGCGAGCUCUCUUAUGGCCAAAACAACGCCUGCACAAGUCCUCCUAGGACGAAGAGAACAGUGGAACUGUAGUCCAGUGCUAGCAGUCUACUCCACUUCCAUUAUUGCCCUAGUUUUCAAAACAAUGUCCAAGAGUUUGUGAGGUCCUAGAUUAUAGUAGUAGAUGAGAAGUCUGAAGGCCAGAGAGCUUAUGAGGCUCAGUUAAGAUUCUAAUACUGGUCGGCAGGGAAGUUGCCAAUGUCCAGGGACUGUUGGAUUAGAAAGCUGAGGAUGCUGUUUAAGAAGGCAAAUUCGGCCGGCGCCGCGGCUCACUAGGCUAAUCCUCCGCCUUGCGGCGCCGGCACACGGGGUUCUAGUCCCGGUUGGGGCGCCGGAUUCUGUCCCUGUUGCCCCUCUUCCAGGCCAGCUCUCUGCUGUGGCCAGGGGAGUGCAGUGGAGGAUGGCCCAAGUGCUUGGCCCUGCACCCCAUGGAGACCAGGAGAAGCACCUGGCUCCUGCCAUCGGAUCAGCGCGGUGCACCGGCCACAGUGCCCAUUGGAGGGUGAACCAACGGCAAAGGAAGC